GAAACUCAUCACAGAGUCUGACGCAGGUUUGUCUAGAACUGAAGAAACUUCUCUGACUGAUGGUCAGCUCAGUUCAGGCUGUGUUACAGUUGUACCUCAGUCUCCCUCAGGAAAGACGUCCCGCUCUGUAGUCAAGGUCUUCACAGUCACCACAGGGGAAACCUUUGGUGCUGAUGAAGCUCUGAUGAACCAGGUGAACACCUGUCCAGAGCUUCAGGUGAAGAGGACAGAGCAGAAGGACUGCAGAGUGCUUCUUCUUUUCUGUCCAAUCACCUCACGUCUUGAGUCAGAUGUGGAGGUCGCCCUGACUCAGGUGAAAGGUGAUAAACCAGUCAUUCUGGUGCUGAUGCAUCACACCUGGAAAGCUGACUACUCAACCUCUGGAAGAACCUGGUCUGAAGCCAUUAAACAUGUCGUCCUGGAUGUUCAUGUUCUCUUCCAUGAGAGCAUGAGAGGAUUACUGACGUGUUCAAAGAAUGAGGAGGCAGUCCGUAAAAUACAAGAGGUCUUACUGCAGCACAGUACUCCUUAUAGUAGUGGUCAGACAGGAAAAAGGAGUUUUUGGUCUUUAAGUUGGUUACAGAGACAGUAGCAACUCUGGCUUCAAUGAAACAGCAAUGAAACAGCAACAAUGAAAAACUACUACGGGCAUCAGUCAAUAUUAUCUUUAUAAUAACACAAAUAAUAAGGCCCCCACUCACUCAGUCAGUCAUUUACUGUAAGUUCCAGUCUUUUCAUUUUUGUGACACAUUUCUUUCAUCUUUCUUUGUAGAAAUCUUCUUGUUAAACUUGUAAAACAUGUUUGGGAUCAGACUGAAUUCAUGAAGUCAGUGAAGCUGCCUGUUCUCAGUUUGCUCUGUGCUGGUGUGAAUCUGAAUCUGAACUCUAUCAAGAUUUCUUUCAAAAAGAGGUUGUUCUUUCUUUUUUGAUGUUGAUAGAGAGGAGGAUGAAGUGCAGCUCGGCUCUGCACCUGUGGUUUGGACAGUUUCUGUGGACUCUCACGACCCCUUUUCCACCACAGUAGUUCUGGUUCUGUUCAGGAAUCUUGGAACCUUGGUUCUAUUCAGAGAACCACAUAAACAUAGAGCUGCAUUGGAAUUCCAUCAAAUAUUCUAAUAAUAAUAAUAUAAAGGACGAUUUCACCUCCUUCAAUGAUUCUGAUUAAUUCACUUCUUCAAAAUAUUAUUCUGAAUGGCAUUAGAUGCAGUUUUCUUGUCAGCUUGUACAGAUCUGUGGAGAACAGUAUCUUUGGCUGAGUAAAUGUUUCCGUGGGGUAAAACGUUUGUUUGAGAGUCCAGCUUCAUUAAUUCUGUCUGUGGUGUCUUGUGAUGGAGAAUGAUCGAUUCAGCUUCGUUUGUCACAAAAUCUCUUUUUUCUUUCUGCUCACUGGUUUUAAAUCACUGUAAUUAAAGUUAAUAAGUAAGCAACUCAUUUCAUUGAUGCAACAGGUUCAUUGGGUAAAUGAUGUCCUGCACCAGGUCUCCACUAGAUGGCAGCAUUGACAUUAAAACUGUAGUUUUCUGUCUUGUCAGUAUGAAACUGAGGUGGAGCAGCAGAGUCCACGUCCAGUUCUGCUGCUGGAACAGUUCAUGGUGUUUACAAAGCUGAGAUUCACAGUGUCAAUCAGACAACAAGCAAACUGAUAUCUGGGACUGGAAUAAGUGUGUGAGACAGACAGAAAGCAAAGACUGCAAAGAUAGAGGCUGGUUAUAUAAAAUCAUAUUUCUAUUAGAAAAACUACAGCCCGGUUUAAUACCACACCUGUUUCCUCAGCUGAUGAAUAAAAAAGUGAUCUCCCAACAAGUGUAGCUCCCCAUGUGUAACUUUUACCCCAUACACCUGAACACAUCAUACACCUGAACACAUCGCGACGUGCCUCCUCAUUGGUCAUGAACCUCUGGGCGGAGCUCAGAGAGGCGGAGAAACGAAGCCGGAACAGAUUUAAACCAACGUCCGAGCCGCUGCCUCUGUUUGUCAGUGCUGUGAGGAAACGUCGUUACCGGAGAGUCUGGAUGCUACAACAAACUCUGGAGCUGGUUUUUGUCAGGCACCAGUGAGACUGGACGCUGAACAUACCUGCGGCGCGAAGGUGUCACCACUUCGUCCACGACAUGGUCCACGAUCACAGAGACAUGGUCCACGAUCACAGAGACAUGGUCCACGAUCGCAGAGACAUGGUCCAUGAUCGCAGAGACCUUGUCAAAGAUGAGAGAGACGUUGUCCUUGAUCAGAGACAUUGUCCCAUGCUUCGUAGAGACCUUGCGAUAGAAUCGGCGGAGACGGGGGUCACCGAUUUGACGGCACUGCCCGCGAUCAUGGAGACAUUGUCGAUGGUCACAGAGACAGCGUCUAUGAUCUCAGAGACAUCGUCCACGAUCACAAAGACACUGUCCGCGAUCACAGAGACUUUGUCCAUAAUCUCAGAGACAUUGUCCGCGAUCACAGAGACAUGGUCCACGAUCGCAGAGACAUGGUCCACGAUCACAGAGACAUGGUCCACGAUCACAGAGACAUGGUCCACGAUCAGAGUCUUCGUACAAUGAAGAAGUUCUUUGAGACCAGGACUGAGGCCUCCAGGAUUCAGACUUUAACCAUUAAAUCACAGCGAGAAGAGAGAGACGUGAAGACGUCAGAAGGUCUUCAGCUGCUGUCGUCGUCUUCGCCUGCAGAGACGAGAACACGUUCAUCACACACACUGAGCAGUAAAUCUAUUUUUCCUUUUCUAAACUAGCUUUAUUCGUUUUUGAUAACUAAUUACAAUAUCACUUAUUUUAUUGUGUUUGUUUUUUUUAUUAUUAUUACAGUCAUAGUAAUGACUAGAAAUACUCAUGAAACUAUAUAAAAUGAGAAUGACAUGAAGAUGACAUAAGUAAUUAUUACUGAGGUCAUUUCAGAAAUGAUAUUACUGAAAUUACUAAGGCAAAGGUAAUACAAAAUAUACUUUUACUUGCUAAUUAACUAAAAUUAUUUUUACAUAUUAAAUAUUGUUUUUUUUCACAACAUUCUAAGCUAUGGCAUUUUUUGACCUUUUUUUUUUUAUAGUUUUAUAUUGUUCAUGUAUUCCGUAAUUUUUAUAGAUUAUUUUGUUGUAUAUCUUGUCAUGUUUAUAUCAUGCCUUUUUCUAUUUUUGCUGCUGCAACACUGAAGUUCCCUGCUGUGGGAGUAAUAAAGUAUUAUCUUUCUCUUACUCAAA